GUGCUGGCCGAAGCUGCACUUCUUCAUCACAAAUUCCCUGCUGGGUGCGUGGUGAGAGGAGGGAAGGGAUGCGCAUCAAAGAGAGCCAAAACCUGGGAAAGCAGCUGAUAACAGAGGAUCCUGAUGAGACCUGAAACCUGAAGGGAGAUCAAAGGCCGGGCAGAGGUCGGAAACUGGAGGGGAAGGACUGAGCCAGCAAAAGAGAAAGGUGAAGAGAAAGGGUUAAACCAGUGCACAGCAGCAAACCCCAGGUCUGAUGCUACAAGAACCAGAGGUCCAUGAGAACCAACAGGCCCCAGUGGUGAGGCCAGGCUCACACAGGAGCCCAGAGCUGCCCUCCCUGCAAUCCCCCAGCUCAGUGGCUCUGGAAGGGAGCGACCCUAAACCUCCCACAAGGCCACAGCUGCCACUUGCACUCCUCAUCCUCUCCCUUCCUCCCUGCCAUUCCCAGCUCCGACAGUUUUGCAGAGCUCCAGUUGUCUCCUACCCUUGCUGCCUGCAUUCAUCACACACAGCACAUUGCCAGAGCGUCUUUCCCUUUGCCAGAGCAUCUUUCCCAGGAGGGAUGAACUGUGCCAGCAGAGUGGCAGCACGAAGCCAUCUCGGCCCUGGGCCAGGGAGAAAAGCUCCUCUCAAGCUGCCUUUGGGAGCAGGAGCAUGAGGAUGUCUGGAUGGGAGACUUUGGGAGGAGCAUGAGACACCUCGGCCCUACUGAGCAGUAAAGGAGAGUCCUGUCUUUCCCUCAUCACUUAGAAAAAGCUACAGAACAGUGUUGCUCAUGGACAGACAAGAAAAAUGCAUCAGGACUAAUGACUGAACACACACUUUUAGCUCCUGUCUCAGCUCUAAUGUAAGAGCAGCCUCUUUGCCAAUGGCUCUGGGGUUUUUCACUCAAAUAAUCACGUUUAAGCCUUCUUGGUUAGCAGAUAUUCAGCUACAGAUAAAUGGCUGGAGCUACAUGAAACUCUUAUUCAUGUCUUCUCUGUGCCUUAAAACCAUGAUUAGAGCUGUGAUCCUUGCUGUGGAUUCAAGGGAAGAAAUGGAAGAGCAAAGCGGAGAGGACUGUAAGGUUGCCUUUGCCUGUGCAGCUGCUGAGGUCAGUGCACACCCACAGCGUGGACAGUGCUUGGUUUCAGUUUUGGAAGUGCUUGGCCACACCAGCCCGGGGCUCCACCCCAGUUCAGCCCUGUGCUGGGAGCACUGGUGUCACAGCAGCAGUGCCACGGGGGCACAGGGUCCUGGUGCCCACAGGGCAGGGCCACCCUCAGCUCCUCCACAGAGUCACUGAGUGGGCAGGGCUGGGAAGGGGAUCUGGAGAUCUUCCAGUCCAAGCCUCUGCUGAAGCAGGUUGGCACUCACCUGCCAGCUGCAGCAGGUGACCAGAGGGUUUAGGGGGCAGUGCCCCUUUUCCUCAUCACCUGUAUCUCCAUCUCCCCCCAUUUUCUACACAAAUGCUGCGGAAAUGUCCAGCUCUGCCCCUUUCCCCUCUGGAACUGCAGCCCCUCCUGCCCCUGGCAGAUCUGCAGAGUCACAGGAUGCUCUGGUAACUCUCCCUGGUGUUUGAGGCACGGUCUGAGCAGGUCAUGCCAAGAGGAAAGCCUCCAGGAGCUGGACACGUGUCGCAGGCACACGGGACAGAUGAUUUCUGGCUGGCACUCCACGGUGCCUGGCACAGCCCCUGCGCUGGGAACCACGUGCUGCUUGAAGCAGCCAGGCAAAUGAGGCUCUGGCAAAAAGCACAGCUGGGAUGGCAGCAACAGCAACUGCUGAGGAGCACGGGGGAUGUGAGCCAGAGCACAGGAGCCCUGCACAUCUCUGCCUCAAGACUACAGCCCGCUGACCCCCACCUCUGCUUCAGGCCCUGCCUCCCUGCUGCUUCCCCCAGAGUCAUAAAGGGCAUUGGAAAGGAGCAUGGCUCUGGCAGUGCCAGAUCCAUGUGUGCAGGUCUGAGCCCUUGAAAAGGAGUGUGAGCUGUUCCAGCAGAGUCCUCCUCACCAAGGCUGGGACAUACUCUCUGCCCACCAUGCCACAGUCACCAUGCCUCUGCACAAGCCACCACCUGCCCCCUCUGCUCCCUCGGGCAACUUUUCUGCCUCUCCCCUCCGAUGGGGCUGUUCAAAGCUGGCCAGCAUGGGCUGCACUAGCUCAGCAGCCUCCUGCGGCUCCGGCUCCACUGCCUCCAUUAUCAGCUCUUGUUUUGGAAUACGAAACACUCAAAUAAAAAAUACAGAAAUCCGUGUCGCAACUCCUGGGGCCAGGCUGCCUCCCCAGAACCACAGCCUGGCCAGCACCAACCCACCUCCCAUCCAUGCAGACCAGCUCCAUUUCCUCCAGGAAGGUCCUGGCAGCCGGGCAGGUGCUGUGCUGCCUGCUGAGGCUGGGAGCUGGCUGGGCUGUGAAGGCACCCACAGCCAGCAUCUGGAGGGGUCAGCCUGGCUGGCUUCACCCUCAGCAGCAAAACACUCACACCCCAUCAGCCCCAGGGACUGCUGCUGGUAUUUCUGGGUUAGUGUUUGCAAAAUGCCAGCAGCCCUGGGAAACACAACAGCGAAGGUUUCAACCCCAGCCGACAGAAAUGGGGUAGGGAAAAGGAAAACAAGGGUUUGGUGACAGGGUGCAAAGUGUCCCAAUGCACAGUCAAGCUCUGAGGAGGGAUUCUGGCAGAGGUAUUUUUGUAUUUUUGUACAGUUCAAGUGGAAUAAGAGGAAGAUACAGAAAUAGAUUGGGAAGGGGAGGCAGGGAGAAGGAAGAGGGGAAGGGCCAGGGCGAGCUGUGCUGUUGGGGUCUCACUGCAUCACCAGGCAGGUUCAUCCAGGAGUCAGUCCUGAUUUCUCCUGAACCAGUGGGGAACCACAGAGGUGGCAGUGAGGAAUGGUCAAACCUGAAGGCACUCCAGCAGAGCCUGCCAUGAAACCAGGGAGGUGUUGAAUGCAAAGGAGCAGAAAUGGGAGGUUUAAAGGCCCUGCUCAUGUUGCAUAGCCCCUUCCUCCACCUGCAAGCUGUUAAUGUCUUUAAGGAGGGAAGCAAGCCAAGGAGCUGGGAAUGGGAUGGAGGUUGGUGCUGUGCAGGCAGGAGUGCUGUAAUGGGGAUAAGUGGCGAGCUUGGCAGUGCUGUGUUAGACCUGAUGUCCUUAGAGGUCUUUUCCAACCUGAGAAACUCUGUGAUGGUGCCAGGGAGGAGCAGGGAGGCAGCCAAGGCUGAGACAGCAGCCAGGCAUUUGCAAGUGGUCCCUGAGUAGCCACAUUGCAGCUGGGUCUCAACCAUGGGCACAGGUUAUGGGGCAGGGAUAGCUGUGGGACAGCUGUGGGACAGCAUAUCCGUGUGGCUGCAGGUGAGCCUGGCCCUGUCUGUGCCUGCCCAGCCCAUGCCAGGAUCCCUCAGCCUGAGCCCCAGGGCGUUUGAUGGAUUCCCAACACGCCCGGGUGGCACGGGAGGAAAUGGCUGCUCUGGAAAUCCGUAGCAGUGCGGAAAGAGAUUAUUGAAAUGAUAGUAAUAAAAAAAAAAUAUAUAAUAAUUAGAAUUACAAAUGAGGCUUUCGAGGGGCAGCUGUUAUCCACGCUGCUCACGUGCUCGCUUUGCACAGCUGCACAGGCAGAGAGAGGUAGCUGACAGCAGGUACUUUUAAUCUUCUCUUUCCGUUCCCAGCACCUGCUUUUUAAAGCCACUGAACAGCCAGAAAAAAAGCUAAAAGAUGAUGGCUAAAUAUAUCCUAACUAAGAGGAGAGACAGAGCAGCGCUAAUGGCAGAUCCUUCCUUGGAUGCAUUCAAAUUGGUUUGGCUUGGAGACAGGCUAAGGGAAGAAGCAGCAGAUGAAGAGGAAAAACAGUAGAAGAAGGGAUUUAGAGGGUAAAAAAAGGGGGGAUAGAAAGAAGCCAGAGGGACUGAUAAGUUCCACUACACCCAUUCCCAGAGGAAAACAAGCCCAUUUAAUUUUUGCUUUUAAAUGCAACCCCGUGCAGAACAGACACUCACCUUUCGCAGGGAGAGCGGGUCAUGCUCCAGGCAAGGCGAGAGCCCUCAGAGUGCCCAGGGCCAGAGCAGAUCCAGGUCACUGCCUUUCCUGCAGGCCAGCCCUGCUCAGGAGAUGCUCAGCCCUUCCUCACUGAAGCCCCACAGGGUUUCUGCAGUAAAUCUCUCACCAUGCAAUUUCCCACUAAAACCUGGCCUUGCCUCAACUGCCCUGCUCUCUGCCCCUGUUAACACCUCCCUUCCCCCUUUGUUACCCAGGACUGUCCUCAGCUGCUGCCUGACCCUUCCCCAGCAAUCCCAGCCCCCUCCAGCCCCCCCAAACUGGCCCAUGGUGGUGACUCUCACCCUGCUCCUGCUCAUCCCUCCCUGGUUUAUCCCAUAAGGAUGAGGCAGGCUGAGCCCUGGGUGUGAGCUGCCUGCUGGAGCACAGGGUUGCUUUUUAUGGUCUGGAGAUAGCUCUUCAUUUGUUGUUUGCUCUUCGUGACCUGAUCAUGCUCGAUCCAUCCACACUGCUCCCUUUUCCCAGGAGCUUGUGCAUCCCCCACUGCUGCUCCUGGUGCAGGGAGCAGGCUCAGCACUUGUUUCCACCUCUGGCCAUGAUGGGUUUGGGAUUUGGGGCAGGGAAUCCAUCACAGGCAUCAGUGGGGUGAACUCAGAGAAGGACAGCAGUGUGCUGCUGGAAGGCUCUUGGGAUUUUCCUUCCUUGCAGGUCCUACUGACACAUUUCUGACUCAUCUCCCCCAACUGGACCUCCGGGAAGCCUGGUUCUAAAUUGCUCCAGCUGAGCCAUCGACAGGUCAGAACCAACACGGCCCCACUCUGCUGCCCCAUCCAGCGUGUCUGCACCAGUGAAACCACAGGGAGAGGAAACAGCUUCUCCAGUCUCCUCCUCAGCAAUUUGGCUGGGAGACACCCCUCCAUCCCCAGGAUUGCAGUUUUUCAGACACUCAGGCAGAGAACAAAUCGUCUCAGGCUGUUUAUUAGGUCCUCAGGGUGUCUGUACAGAACGGGUGUAGCACUGCACGAGGUGGUGACACAGCUCUGGGGUAUCAUUGCUGGCAGGAUUUGUGGCUUCUCCAGCCUCUCAGGGAAGGGGAGCCCAGCAAACAAGCAGCUAAUGCAGAGGGAACCCAGGGAGCCAAGCCCACACCGUUCCCUGAGCAGGAAGGGAUCAGAGUAAAGAGCCCAAAUUGCCCCUGCCCAGCAGGACAUCAUGAAAAUAAAAAUGUGGCAGAGGGAAGAACUUCUGAGCUGUUCUUUCUACCUGGUGGCUUUCCUCUGAGUUCACUGCGUGCAGCAGAGCCAUCCUCAGUCUCUUCUGAGCCACCCACGGGUUUAUUUCCAGAGGAAUGAGACAUAUUUGUUAUUUCAAGCAGCCUCACUGGGCACUUGGGCUUGUGGUCAGGUCCUCUAAGGGACACUGCCACCCCACCAAGGUGGAGGUGCCAAGGAGCUUAAGGACAAAUCUGAGCUCUGAUUUGGGUAACCCACAGAGCAGUUGGGGGGAAAGGUUAUGAGAAGAUGAGCUCUCCAAUCGUGGUUUUUAAGGAAGAGGGAUCCAGGGUGUGCUUGUACCCUGCUCUCUCCAUGCCAGGAGUCCCACACAGGUCUGCAGGAGGAAACACAGCACAAGGUGCCUCCUUCCCCUCAGUGCUUUUCAGCUGCAGGCACUGACAGAGCAACGUGAAGACAUUUCUCUCAGGAUAACGCUGUUAUCUACCCUGGGAAUGCAGAGCUGAGCAGCUCCUCAUCCCUCAUGUUUCAGAGCCAGCCUGGGGCACACAGCACGUGAGGCAAACUGGGAGCAGUGGGGCUACUUGAGGCAAACAAUUCACAGCACAGCUGGUCCCCAGAGCUCCCUGGUCCCUCCAGAAGCAGGCACUGCCUUUUCCCCGGUGCCUUUUUGCCAGGAAGGUUGGAUGUUUUUGGUAACAAGCUCAUCCCCCUCUGCCACCUCCCUCCCACAGCCUCAGUUCCCUGAACUCCCGCUGAGUUCACGGCGGUCCCAGAUUCACAUCCUCCUGUAAAGCCAGGAGGAGGCACAGAGCACAAUGACUGACUUUGCCGAGCAAAUACAACCCACACACCUUUAUUGAGACUAUUUUGAUAAACCAGAGAGCCACGGGGGUGCCCAGCUGGGAGUGACCCCAGCACGGCUGCCCUCUACCCUAGCCAGCCCCAGGCACGAGCACUGCGUGUGCAGCGUGCAGGGAAGAAGGAGAAAAAGAAGGAAGACAAAAGACUUGGGGACAAGACGAGCCUCUGCAAAGCCCAAGGGGUGCGUGGUAGAGAGAAGCAUUCUGGUCUAGCAGCAAAAUGAACUUUAAUUCCAGUUCUGGGAUAUAAUGCUACGAUGCUGGAGAGAGCACAGCACCAAGGAAGGCGACAACUGCAGCAGCCCCAGGGAUGAAAGAUAAUGCAGAGAUGAUGUGAAACAUUUUGUUCUUAUAUAACAGGCAGGGAUGAGCUCGUAGGAGCUUUACAGGGGCAGUAGGAGGCGUGUAGGAGGGAGAUGGCAUGACCAGAGGCAAGUGUCUGGGGAAGGGAAAGGCAAAGAAGAGAGGAGGGAUGGAGGGGGAUGGAGGAGACACAAAUCGAGGGAGGUUAGGGGAGUCCCAGGCUCAGAGAGAUGAGGACAAACAGUGCUGGUGGACAGGAAGGUUUGGAGUGCUUCAAGGAGGAGGAAGAGGAGGAGGGAAGACAACCAGGAUGGGACAGGGAAGGAGAGAGGAGUUUGGAGGGAGAAGCCAGAGGCCCCCAGGGAGGGGAGAGCUUGCACUGACGGGUGAGAGGCACUCCAGGACUGGCAUGAGGUAUGCUUUGCUAUUGCUCUGAAUGCUGUAAACAUUUUGGUUUUGUGUCUAUCAGUGAACAUUCAGUUCAGUUUGAUACAUGUGCUCUUAGGGGUAACUGGAAGCCUAGCAGAGUUUUACAUCUCUCACUACUACUCAGACUUAUACACGAGGCAAACACAACACUGGCUAAAGAUCUCAGUUUAUGUCGUUUAUGCCUAAUUCUCCUAUUUUAACAUGCACAUCUAUGUCUCAGAAAAGCUUCUCUAGUACAGGACACUAAAUAAGAUACAGAUGAAGUCACAUGCACUCUCAUCCACCCACACCCCCAGACACUCACAGCAAUUUCCUCCUCCCCUGCUUAGACUGGCAAGACUUUGCCCUUCACACCUCCCCAGUAUGGACAACAGGGACCCCUUGGUGCAUUAAUGAGUCCCCUAAAAUCAUCCCAAGCCUGGCUGAUGGACCAAAGCAGGAGAAACUUUAGACAGGUGAGAGUUCUGCAUCUGACCCUGGAGUUAACACCACCUGAAGCUCAUAGAGAAGGGAAAGGAAAUUUGUAAACUCUUUCCCUUCUGCCAUCAAACUAUCUGGGAGCUGACUGGAUAUGUGCCAGCAAACAGAAUAAAAAGAACUGAGUGAACCAAUUUCUUUCCCCUCUCUUCACGUGAUGGCACACUUUAAUGCUGCUCCAAACAGGAGGAAAAUUUUGGAGGUGUGUGCUUGAGGAGAGGGGAAAUGGGUUUGUAGGUUGUGAAUAUCCCUUUCACACCAGGAAGAGAUGAAUCAAGGAUAGGGUAUUCGUCCUUGGUGGGGAUUAGUCACCACUCAGCUCUUUCCAAAGCUUUGGCUCAGUCAUUAUUUCCUUGAUCAGCCCCUGGUUUAAGGGGUAGAGCUACAAGCUGCUUAUUUUGAUUCACUUCAGAAUGGCAUUUGUCAUAAAAGAAGCAGCUGGUGCCAUUUUCUUGUUUAAGAAAAAUAGAAUUUUACUUUAAAUAACUAGUCUGCUUUCCUUCCAGAGAGACAAAACUACAGGAGCAGCAACACAAAUAACCGUGGUAGACUCACAUGCCUCAGACAAUACUUUUGCUCCAUUCUGUG